GACGAACGCUGGCGGCGUGCUUAACACAUGCAAGUCGAACGGAAAGGCCCUGCUUUUGUGGGGUGCUCGAGUGGCGAACGGGUGAGUAACACGUGAGUAACCUGCCCUUGACUUUGGGAUAACUUCAGGAAACUGGGGCUAAUACCGGAUAGGAGCUCCUGCGGCAUGGUGGGGGUUGGAAAGUUUCGGCGGUUGGGGAUGGACUCGCGGCUUAUCAGCUUGUUGGUGGGGUAGUGGCUUACCAAGGCUUUGACGGGUAGCCGGCCUGAGAGGGUGACCGGCCACAUUGGGACUGCGAUACGGACCAGACUCCUACGGGAGGCAGCAGUGGGGAAUAUUGCACAAUGGGCGGAAGCCUGAUGCAGCAACGCCGCGUGCGGGAUGACGGCCUUCGGGUUGUAAACCGCUUUCGCCUGUGACGAAGCGUGAGUGACGGUAAUGGGUAAAGAAGCACCGGCUAACUACGUG
rnacentral:rRNA from 1 species